AGAGUUUGAUCCUGGCUCAGAUUGAACGCUGGCGGCAUGCCUUACACAUGCAAGUCGAACGGCAGCAUGAUCUAGCUUGCUAGAUUGAUGGCGAGUGGCGAACGGGUGAGUAAUACAUCGGAACGUGCCCUGUAGUGGGGGAUAACUAGUCGAAAGAUUAGCUAAUACCGCAUACGACCUGAGGGUGAAAGUGGGGGACCGCAAGGCCUCAUGCUAUAGGAGCGGCCGAUGUCUGAUUAGCUAGUUGGUGAGGUAAAGGCUCACCAAGGCGACGAUCAGUAGCUGGUCUGAGAGGACGAUCAGCCACACUGGGACUGAGACACGGCCCAGACUCCUACGGGAGGCAGCAGUGGGGAAUUUUGGACAAUGGGCGAAAGCCUGAUCCAGCAAUGCCGCGUGUGUGAAGAAGGCCUUCGGGUUGUAAAGCACUUUUGUCCGGAAAGAAAUGGCUCUGGUUAAUACCUGGGGUCGAUGACGGUACCGGAAGAAUAAGGACCGGCUAACUACGUGCCAGCAGCCGCGGUAAUACGUAGGGUCCAAGCGUUAAUCGGAAUUACUGGGCGUAAAGCGUGCGCAGGCGGUUGUGCAAGACCGAUGUGAAAUCCCCGAGCUUAACUUGGGAAUUGCAUUGGUGACUGCACGGCUAGAGUGUGUCAGAGGGGGGUAGAAUUCCACGUGUAGCAGUGAAAUGCGUAGAGAUGUGGAGGAAUACCGAUGGCGAAGGCAGCCCCCUGGGAUAACACUGACGCUCAUGCACGAAAGCGUGGGGAGCAAACAGGAUUAGAUACCCUGGUAGUCCACGCCCUAAACGAUGUCAACUAGUUGUUGGGGAUUCAUUUCCUUAGUAACGUAGCUAACGCGUGAAGUUGACCGC
rnacentral:rRNA from 1 species